AAAGAGGAGGAGGAUAUUAAAAAGAAAAAAAAAUAAUACACAGCACCGUGCUGGUUAGCCAAAGCCGAGAGGAAAAGCAGAGCAGGAGGGCUGAAGGUGCUGUAAAAAAAACGCUGCCGGAGCGCUUGGAUGCGUUUGUAAGGCGAGGCGGAGGCGGAGGGACGCGCCUCGCUGCGUGAGGAGCCGAACAGGACUGUGCCUGCCCUUGCCCUCCGUGCUGCAGAGGAAGAGCCCGGCAAGAAGCCCCCUGCUCCGCACCGCCCCGGGCCCCACGCCAGAGCGGUACCCUGGGCCCUUCUCCAGCGCCGCGGCGGCGAAGGACUUCUUGAGGGAUGCAGAAAUACGCAGUAGGAGUGUUCAGUGAUUGCCAUGGGAGGAAGAGCUUCCAUUGACACCAGUGGCAGCGCUGCACAAGAGGAAAAUGCUGCCUUCGAGAGCAGAGAUCCACUCAAUUUUGCCCUCAGCUUUUUUAGGGCUUUACGUGGUUUAUGAGGAUUUCCUUUUGCAAUAUAAGUAAGGAGGCACUUGGGACCCCACCAAAACUGGAGGGGAUAGGAAGAGCUAAUAAGGCCAAGUCGUCUCAGUCUAAAACAAACAGAACUUGUGAAACUACACACGUGACAUGCUAAAACCAUGGCGCUCUUGUGAGAAAAGAAGACAAAACUAAAAUUCUCAAGCAGCUCCCCCAGGAUCGAAUUCCAGCCUCAGGCACUGAUUGUGUGAUGCGGCCUAACUCUGAUGGCAGGCUUCAGCUCUGAUUUUGUCUGACUGUAUUUGCCCUGCCUUAUUCAUCCUAGGAGGCACAAGGACUCAGUUGAACAGAUGAGGAGAGGAAAAAAAGUCUUGCCAAGAACCUCUCAGUCUCACUCACCAUCACCAUCAAUAACAGGGCAUUUUGGGGAGUAGAUCUGCUUUUCUAAGCUGAGGAAUUGGGGCACCUGCUUUGCAGCAGCUACACAAGACGAGAGGGUGUUCAGCACACGAGGGAUCAGUAGUCCUUUCCUCUGGCAUGCCGGGAAGUGAUUCUUUGGGAGUGAGAAAUGUCAUCGGUUAAGACAAACAGUCAUCGGAUGAGCUCAGACUUACAUUUUCAAAAAGUAAAUGCAUAACGAGGGGGGCUUGAUAAAAAACGAGUGAAAUAUUUUUAACAGGAUGGUCCAGAUGCACAUGUAUCUUAUGUCAUGAUCUUAUUCUUAUUCUCAACUCUUAUUCUGACAUUCAUCCUUCUUCUUUCCUUCCCACCCUUGACUGUUAUAGCUCUCAUCCUCUAUGCUACAGAAAAUGCAAAGUAAAUUAUGUAAGGGAGGGUCUGUAUUUUUGGCUGUACCAGGUGUCUUGCCCACAAAUGUUUGGAAGA